AUGCAUAAGAUAUCUGUGAUAUUUGCCGAAUUAUUAUUUGUAGGUUUGAAGUACCAAGGCACAAUGGCUGAUAGGGCACUGGAGGAACUGCACACCAUGGUUCAGACACCAACUUCCCUGAUGCGACCAACUCACCGGUUCAGUGAGCAUUGUGUGGCUACUCUUGGAUCCGGUGAAUCUGGUGGUUCUGUUUAUAUUAUGUAUUGUGGGACUAUUGAGUUCACAACGCUUUCCAAAUACUCAUAUGUGAUUUCUUUUUUAUUUAUACUCGUGCAGAAAAAUAAAGAGCAUCUUGAUUCUUGUAUUGUUGAAGGCAGCUGUAGCUAA
rnacentral:rRNA from 1 species